rnacentral:rRNA from 1 species
UCCUACGGGAGGCAGCAGUGAGGAAUAUUGGUCAAUGGGCGAGAGCCUGAACCAGCCAAGUCGCGUGAAGGAUGACGGCCCUAUGGGUUGUAAACUUCUUUUGCAGGGGAAUAAAGAUAUUCACGUGUGGGUAGUUGUAUGUACCCUGCGAAUAAGCAUCGGCUAACUCCGUGCCAGCAGCCGCGGUAAUACGGAGGAUGCGAGCGUUAUCCGGAUUUAUUGGGUUUAAAGGGUGCGUAGGUGGGCUAUUAAGUCAGUGGUGAAAGUUUGUCGCUCAACGAUAAAAUUGCCGUUGAAACUGGUGGUCUUGAGUAUGGAUGAAGUAGGCGGAAUGCGUGGUGUAGCGGUGAAAUGCAUAGAGAUCACGCAGAACUCCGAUUGCGAAGGCAGCUUACUAAGGCAUAACUGACACUGAAGCACGAAAGCGUGGGUAUCAAACAGGAUUAGAUACCCUGGUAGUCCACGCAGUAAACGAUGAUUACUAGGAGUUUGCGAUAUAGUGUAAGCUCUACAGCGAAAGCGUUAAGUAAUCCACCUGGGGAGUACGCCGGCAACGGUGAAACUCAAAGGAAUUGACGG